rnacentral:rRNA from 1 species
UACGUAGAAGACUAGUGUUAUUCAUCUUUAAUAGGUUUAAAGGGUACCUAGACGGUAUAAUUAGUCUUAAACAGGAUACGAUUAUACUAGAGUUAUAUAUGAGGAGGUGAGUAUUUAUGCAAGUAGAGUUGAAAUUCGUUGAUAGCAUAACGACUGGUAACGGCGAAAGCAACCUUUUAUCUAAUAACUGACGUUGAGGGACGAAGGCUCGGGCUAACGA